CUUCAAUAUGCUGAAUCUAAUCAUGUACUUAGAUUUUGGAUUUUGGACCAUAAUAGGUAAAUGUCCAAUUUAAAAUUUUUAAGUUUUUAAGUUUAAGUUCUUAGACCACAUUCAUUCUGUGUCAAAAACCUUUGUUGUGUCAACUAUUUAAUCACAAUCUAAAUUCAGAGCUGUAUCAAGCUUAAAUGUUGUGUUCAUACUUACCCCAACUGUUCAGGGUUCGACCUCUGUGGUCGUAUAAAGCUGCGACCUGCGG
rnacentral:lncRNA from 1 species